rnacentral:ribozyme from 1 species
UUUUUUUUUUUUUUUUUUUUUUUUUUUUUUUUUUUUUAU